CCUAAGGUAGCGAAAUUCCUUGUCAGGUAAGUUCUGACCCGCACGAAAGGCGUAACGAUUUGGGCGCUGUCUCAACAAGAAACUCGGUGAAAUCAUAGUACCUGUGAAGAUGCAGGUUACCCGCGAUCAGACGGAAAGACCCCAUGGAGCUUCACUGCAACUUAAUAUUGAUAUUGGGUGUGUGAUGUACAGGAUAGGUGGGAGACAAAGAAGCGAGUACGCUAGUAUUCGUGGAGUCAACCUUGGGAUACCACCCCUCGCACAUUUAGUAUCUAACUAGUUUCCAUAAGCUGGGAAUAGAACAGUGUUAGGUGGGCAGUUUGACUGGGGCGGUCGCCUCCCAAAGAGUAACGGAGGCGCCCAAAGGUUCCCUCAGAAUGGUUGGAAAUCAUUCAUAGAGUGUAAAGGCAGAAGGGAGCUUGACUGCGAGACGGACAGGUCGAGCAGGAACGAAAGUUGGGCUUAGUGAACCGGCUGUGCUGAAUGGAAAGGCAGUCGAUCAACGGACAAAAGCUACCCUGGGGAUAACAGGCUGAUCUCCCCCAAGAGUUCACAUCGACGGGGAGGUUUGGCACCUCGAUGUCGGCUCGUCGCAUCCUGGGGCUGGAGAAGGUCCCAAGGGUUGGGCUGUUCGCCCAUUAAAGCGUCACGCGAGCUGGGUUCAGAACGUCGUGAGACAGUUCGGUCCCUAUCUGUCGUGGGCGUAGGAAAUUUGAAGGGAGUUGUCCCUAGUACGAGAGGACCAGGAUGAACGCACCGCUGGUGCACCAGUUGGCUUGCCAAGGCCACAGCUGGGUAGCUACGUGCGGCCGGGAUAAACGCUGAAAGCAUCUAAGCGUGAAGCCCCCCCUGAGAUGAGAUUUCCCAUUAGAAAUAAGUAAGACCCCUUAGAGAUGAUGAGGUUGAUAGGUCAGAGAUGUAAGCACUGCGAGGUGUUGAGUUGACUGAUACUAAUAGGUCGAGGACUUAACCU
rnacentral:rRNA from 1 species